rnacentral:tRNA from 1 species
AGAGAUAUAGCUAAAAGGUUAAAGCGACGGUUUUUGAUACCGCUAUUUAUUGGUUCGAAUCCAAUUAUUUCUG